rnacentral:rRNA from 1 species
CAUGCAAGUCGAGCGGAUGACAGGAGCUUGCUCCUGAAUUCAGCGGCGGACGGGUGAGUAAUGCCUAGGAAUCUGCCUGGUAGUGGGGGACAACGUUUCGAAAGGAACGCUAAUACCGCAUACGUCCUACGGGAGAAAGCAGGGGACCUUCGGGCCUUGCGCUAUCAGAUGAGCCUAGGUCGGAUUAGCUAGUUGGUGAGGUAAUGGCUCACCAAGGCGACGAUCCGUAACUGGUCUGAGAGGAUGAUCAGUCACACUGGAACUGAGACACGGUCCAGACUCCUACGGGAGGCAGCAGUGGGGAAUAUUGGACAAUGGGCGAAAGCCUGAUCCAGCCAUGCCGCGUGUGUGAAGAAGGUCUUCGGAUUGUAAAGCACUUUAAGUUGGGAGGAAGGGCAGUAACUUAAUACGUUGCUGUCUUGACGUUACCGACAGAAUAAGCACCGGCUAACUCUGUGCCAGCAGCCGCGGUAAUACAGAGGGUGCAAGCGUUAAUCGGAAUUACUGGGCGUAAAGCGCGCGUAGGUGGUUUGUUAAGUUGGAUGUGAAAGCCCCGGGCUCAACCUGGGAACUGCAUUCAAAACUGACAAGCUAGAGUAUGGUAGAGGGUGGUGGAAUUUCCUGUGUAGCGGUGAAAUGCGUAGAUAUAGGAAGGAACACCAGUGGCGAAGGCGACCACCUGGACUGAUACUGACACUGAGGUGCGAA